GACGAACCGUGCGAACGUUAUUCGGAAUCACUGGGCUUAAAGCGUGUGUAGGCGGAUCUGUAAGUACCUUGUGAAAUCCCACGGCUCAACCGUGGAACUGCUUGGUAUACUGCGGGUCUUGAGCCACCUAGGGGCAAGUGGAACAAACGGUGGAGCGGUGAAAUGCGUAGAUAUCGUUUGGAACGCCAAUGGUGAAAACAACUUGCUGGGGGUGUGCUGACGCUGAGACACGAAAGCCAGGGGAGCAAACGGG
rnacentral:rRNA from 1 species